GUUGAACAUGAAAAUCAUGGAGCAAGAAGGAGAGGAUUUUGAAGAAAGGAAAGAUAUCAAGUUUUUGAAUGAAGAAGAAGAGGAAACUAAGGUUUAUGAGAGUGGAGUAGACGCUGAAGAAGAAGAUGACGACGAGGACGAGGACGAUGAAGACGACGAGGAUGACGAGGAUGAUGAUGAUGAUGAUGAUGACGACGAGGAUGAUGAUGAUGAUGAUGAGGUGCAGGUUUUACACUCUUCUAGUGGACCAGCAGGACAGUCUGUGAACGAUGACAACGAGGAG
rnacentral:lncRNA from 1 species